GAUGAACGCUGGCGGCGUGCCUAAUACAUGCAAGUCGAGCGAACGGACGAGAAGCUUGCUUCUCUGAUGUUAGCGGCGGACGGGUGAGUAACACGUGGAUAACCUACCUACAAGACUGGGAUAACUUCGGGAAACCGGAGCUAAUACCGGAUAAUAUUUUGAACCGCAUGGUUCAAAAGUGAAAGACGGUCUUGCUGUCACUUAUAGAUGGAUCCGCGCUGCAUUAGCUAGUUGGUAAGGUAACGGCUUACCAAGGCAACGAUGCAUAGCCGACCUGAGAGGGUGAUCGGCCACACGGGAACUGAGACACGGUCCAGACUCCUACGGGAGGCAGCAGUAGGGAAUCUUCCGCAAUGGGCGAAAGCCUGACGGAGCAACGCCGCGUGAGUGAUGAAGGUCUUCGGAUCGUAAAACUCUGUUAUUAGGGAAGAACAUAUGUGUAAGUAACUGUGCACAUCUUGACGGUACCUAAUCAGAAAGCCACGGCUAACUACGUG
rnacentral:rRNA from 1 species